GGGCUUUCUCUUGAUCUUUGUGUCAUUUCAGAAUUCAAAGACUCUGUGUGCUACAGGAGUUCUGAACAUGGCUGGGUUCAUGAAGGCAAAUGUAUGGAUGAGAGUGUGGUUUAGGGAAGAGGGCAUUGAUAUCAGAUUAGACCUAUGUGUUUGCACCCAUCUUUGUUGGCGAUCUGAGUGCAGUGUGGCAAGUGCACACCUGGCAUCCCUGUGUCAGAUCGCGCACCUUCAGAUCGCGCACCUUCGCUGAAGGAAGAUGACGCAGAGCUUUAUCUGAAAUCAGAGGGGAACUAUCCAAAAUGGGAGUUUGGGGGCAGAUAAAGUUGACAUGCGAAUAAAUUGAUACUGAAACUUAGCAACUUCUUAAAAGUGUAAAGAAUCCUCAUAAGAUCAUAAGGAAAAUGUAUAUAUGCUUUUCACAGCUUUCUAGAAUUUUUUGACAUUUGAUUUUCUUGAGACUUGUAAACCUGGAUAUGUUGAAGGGUAUUUGUUAAUUUUACUUUUCAAAGAUAUUUUAAAACAGUAGAGCUAGCAAUGACACCUUGCAUUUCAUUUCAACACUGCUUAAAGGUUUCUUUUGUAUAUAAUUCUUAGAAUGCUCAUUUCUUUUAAAUGGUUUAAUUUGUACAGCAGAGGAAUGUUAUUGUAGUAGUAUGUAACUAUUACCUAAUACUGAGUUUUUGCAAAAAACAAUGAAUGCUCAUAUGUAAUUGAAAUACUUCAGAUCACAUGAAAAUGCUGAUUUAACAUUUAAGUAUCACAGCAUUAAAAGAAAAAAAAAGUAAACCAAUCUUUUGUAUUCAGUUACCUAAUGGGGUGCCAUCAAUAAGCUGCGAUACAGCCCUGGAGCUCAGUCAGCCACACCUUCCUGCAUCCUAUUGGCCUUAUUCAUUUAAAAUGAGUUAAUGAAUCUGCCAGAUCUGUGAAUGAUAGAGAUUAUGCUAAAUUAAUGCUGAUUCUUUGUGUGUGUGGGAAACCUCUGUAGAGCACCUUUUCUUUCUUAGACUAAGUAACCCAGUACAAUAGUUGUGAACUGAAUAAUUAAAACUUUGGCUUCUCUUAGGAAAAGAUGACUUCCUAGUCAUAGGUGUCCUAUGGGGAAAUUUAUUUUUUUUAAUGUCCUGUUCCUUAAUGCUGCAAAUUAUCAGUAUUUAUAAAGUAACUGAUUUUGCACCACUUUUUUGUUACUGUGACCACGGCAGAACAAUGUCUUCUAGACUAUAUCUAUGUAAAGUUAUUAGAAUGGUAUCUGUUCAUUUUAGUGAUAUGAAGAUCACAACUAACAACUUACAAAUCAGAGUUUGCCAGUUCAAAUUCAGCAUGGCUGCAGCUGAUUAAGAAAUUGAUACGAUUAUUCUUUGCUAGCCUCUCUUACUAAUGGAAUUAUAUAUUGGCCAGUAAAAUGGGCCUCCCAAUUGCUGUUUCAGCAGGUUUUAAAACCUUCAAGAACACCAGUUAGGAAAAUAGCUCCAGAAAAUAUAGAUAUAUUUUAUUUUUAUUAAAAUGGCAGUCUACAUCAUAAUUGGCAUUUCCUGAGACUGUCUUUACCAGAGUCUGUGUGAAAUAAGGCAAUCUAGUCUCCUUGAAAAGAAAAUCUCUUGGAUGUUUAGGAAGGAAGACUUGGCCAUGAUGUGGUAUCCUGGCUUUGUGGUGUAGUGCUGUGUGUAUGGAGUUAGUGUAAAAACAUGGAUUACACCAAGUGGAAGAAAUGUCUUCUUGUCAAGCUCAUUCUUACAACUUACACAUGUAGAACAGCUUCCACUUUGGCAAUGAUGUUGUAGCCUUUUAGGUGGAAGACAGUGAGGGGGUGCAGCGUGUCAGAGACAACAUUAAUGUGUUACUCUUGCAUUGGAAUCUGAAGGUAGUUCAGACUUCUUGGAUUUUGUUUUUAAACAAAACAAUGUGAAAACAUUUAAGUUUGAAAUGUUGCAUUUGAAGUUAUGAUCGUUUAAUAUAUUCAUAUUACCAAGACUAUUAUACUGGAAGUGGUUUCUUUUUGUGUUAUAAAGGUUUAAUUUUACAUAAGGCAGUUACUUAAUGUGAUUUUUAACCCUUAAAAAAGUGGAGAUGUAUACAUUUGUUAACAAUGCCAUGAAAGCAUUUUCUUUCUCCUAAGGAAAAGUGAAUUUCUUAUCAUAAUAUCUGGCUGGCCCUGUAAUUUAAAUUAAAAUAAAAUUUUGGAGAAACAG
ensembl:lncRNA